CUGGAAAAAAAAUAUUUACCAGCCCCAUAAUGCGUCGCGCCAGCAUAGUGUGCAGAUACAGAGUUAGAACAGAUAACUUAAAAUUAAAAAGUACUUCAACGUAAAAAGCGCACUCAUAGACUUCAAAAUAAACAAAAGUGCAGAUUUAUUUUAAGCAGACGUGCCUUUGCAUGUAAUCAAUGUUUCAGUCCAACUACCUUGACAUAUUAAGGAAAGCUUGUUAAUGGGACUGAAAUGGUGAAUGUAUG